rnacentral:rRNA from 1 species
UACGUAGGGUGCGAGCGUUAAUCGGAAUUACUGGGCGUAAGCGUGCGCAGGCGGUUGGUUAAGUCUGAUGUGAAAGCCCCGAGCUCAACUUGGGAAUGGCAUUGGAAACUGGCUGGCUAGAGUGUGGCAGAGGGGGGUGGAAUUCCGCGUGUAGCAGUGAAAUGCGUAGAGAUGCGGAGGAACACCGAUGGCGAAGGCAGCCCCCUGGGCUGACACUGACGCUCCAGGCGACGCAAAGCGUG